rnacentral:rRNA from 1 species
CCUACGGGUGGCUGCAGUGGGGGAUAUUGCACAAUGGGGGGAACUCUGAUGCAGCGACGCCGCGUGGGUGAAGGAGCGUUUCGGCGCGUAAAGCUCUAUCGGCAGGGAAGAAGAUGACCGUACCUGACUAAGAAGCCCCGGCUAAUUACGUACCAGCAGCCGCGGGAAUACGUCGGGGGCAAGCGUUCUCCAGAUUUACUGGGUGUAAAGUGGGCGCAGGCGGCUAGGCAAGCCAGGAGUGAAAGCCCGGGGCCCAACCCCGGGAGUGCUCUUGAAACUGCAUGGCUGGAGUGCAGGAGGGGCGGGCGGAAUUCCUAGUGUAGCGGUGAAAUGCGUAGAUAUUAGGAGGAACACCGGUGGCGAAGGCGGCCUGCUGGACUGUGACUGACGUUGAGGCCCGAAGGCGUGGGGAGCAAACAGGAUUAGAUACCCUAGUAGUC